rnacentral:lncRNA from 1 species
AGACAAGAAAUAAGCUGGGCAACCCAGCUCAACCAGGUGAGUGGGGCACAAAGACUCAAAUCCAUCAUAUCAGUGUGUUAUUGCUCUUUCUUCUUCAUGUCAUUAACCCAAACAGCAGGAUCCAAGCAACUAGCUAUAAGCUGCUAAAGCGGUGUCACACAAGAAAGCUGGCUAAAAUGCAAAAGCCUCCAGCUGGAACUAGAAGCUAUAUAACAGAACCGGAACAGAGACCCAGUGUCCCUUUGUCUAUAAGAACAUUUUUUCAAUAGCAAAAAGAACAAGAGUGACACUUGGUGGCCAGUACAAGACAUCACAAAGGACUGAGCCAUAGGCAACACUCUUCCUCCAGCCUCGCUCUGGGAAUUUUGAAGAUGAAAGGAAAACUGCGCUGUUCAUCGAGAAACAAGACCUGUGUUUGCAGGAAUAGUAUUACUCUUGGUCUGGUUGGUAGCUAAAUAUCAGAAGUGACAUCAUAUGGCAGAUGUUUUGAAUAAACAGAAGUUAGUGUGUCCAAAGCACAUUUCAGAAAAAAGGAUAGACACUAGAAUGCUAAUUCAGGUAGCCAUUAAGAGCCUAGGCAAAAUCUUCUAUGAUGAAUAAGAACUUUAAAUGAA